GGGAAUGCCAGUGAGGUUGCUACUACAAUAACCUAGGCAAGAGAUGGUGGCUCCCAAAGACACGGGAAGGAGCAGCUCUGGGGUUGGAAGAUAAAAUUUGGGGUCUGACAGCUACAUUGGAGAAGCCUAUUAGCCAUUCGAGUGAACUGUGGAAGAGGCAACUGGAUGUAUACAGGUCCGGAGUCUCGGGGAAGAUCAGAGCUGGGAGCUGGCACUUGGAACUCAACAAAUAGUAUGUAUUAUUAGCAGUAAUAUGGAACCUUAGCUGUACUACUACUUACUAGUAGCGAGCUCUUGAGUUAACCAUUUUUAGGUUCUGGGCCUCAGUUUCCCUGUGAAUGAAAUGGCGAAAACACUCCCACAUAACGGGACCUUGAGAACGAAAUGAAAAGUAUCAAGGGCUGACCGUGAGCAAGGUGAGAGCCAUGAGCCAAAACCACACGAGCCUCUCCGGGAGGGGGGGGUCACUGCUGCGGAAUCAGCGACAGGUUUCCGAAUCCACGGCACACGCUC
rnacentral:lncRNA from 1 species